rnacentral:rRNA from 1 species
UACGUAGGGGGCAAGCGUUGUUCGGAAUUACUGGGCGUAAAGCGCGCGCAGGCGGCUAUCCAAGUCAGUGGUGAAAGCCCGGAGCUCAACUCCGGAACUGCCAUUGAAACUGUUUAGCUUGAGGACGAGAGAGGUGAGUGGAAUUCCCAGUGUAGAGGUGAAAUUCGUAGAUAUUGGGAAGAACACCGGUGGCGAAGGCGGCUCACUGGCUCGUUUCUGACACUCAGGCGCGAUAGCGUGGGGAUCAAACAGG